ACUGCUCAGUAACACGUGGACAACCUACCCAAAGGUCUGGGAUAACUCCGGGAAACUGGGGAUAAUACCGGAUAGGUCAAGAGUACUGGAAGGGUUUUUUGAUUGAAGGCUCUGGCGCCUUUGGAUGGGUCUGCGGCUGAUUAGGUUGACGCCGGUGUAAAGUACCGGCGUGCCGAUUAUCAGUACGGGUUGUGGGAGCAAGAGCCCGGAGAUGGAUUCUGAGACACGAAUCCAGGCCCUACGGGGCGCAGCAGGCGCGAAAACUCUACAAUGCAGGCAACUGCGAUAGGGGAACAUCGAGUGGCAUCUACAUUAGGUGUCUGUCCAGCUGUCUAAAAAACGGCUGUUAGCAAGGGCCGGGCAAGACCGGUGCCAGCCGCCGCGGUAAUACCGGCGGCUCGAGUGGUGGCCGAUAUUAUUGAGUCUAAAGGGUCCGUAGCCGGCUUUGCAAGUCUUGUGGGAAAUCCAGCGGCUUAACCGUUGGGCGUCUGCGGGAUACUACAUUGCUUGGGACUGGGAGAGGUAGGAGGUACUCAGGGGGUAGGAGUGAAAUCCUGUAAUCCUCUGGGGACCACCGGUGGCGAAGGCGUCCUACCAGAACAGGUCCGACGGUGAGGGACGAAAGCUAGGGGCACGAACCGGAUUAGAUACCCGGGUAGUCCUAGCCGUAAACGAUGCCCGCUAGGUGUCACGGCAGUCGUGAACUGCCGUGGUGCCGUAGGGAAGCCGUGAAGCGGGCCACUUGGGAAGUACGACCGCAAGGUUGAAACUUAAAGGAAUUGGCGGGGGAGCAC
rnacentral:rRNA from 1 species